AAGGAGGGGGCAAGCGAUAGAGGGAAAGAGAGGGCGUAAAGAGUGCGUAGGUGGUUUUUUAAGCGUGAGGUGAAAGGCAAUAGCUUAACUAUUGUAAGCCUUGCGAACUGGAAGACUUGAGUGCAGGAGAGGAAAGUGGAAUUCCUAGUGUAGCGGUGAAAUGCGUAGAUAUUAGGAGGAACACCAGUGGCGAAGGCGACUUUCUGGACUGUAACUGACGCUGAGGCACGAAAGCGUGGGGAGCAAACAG
rnacentral:rRNA from 1 species